AGAUUGAACGCUGGCGGCAUGCCUUACACAUGCAAGUCGAACGGCAGCACGGGAGCAAUCCUGGUGGCGAGUGGCGAACGGGUGAGUAAUAUAUCGGAACGUGCCCAGUCGUGGGGGAUAACGCAGCGAAAGCUGUGCUAAUACCGCAUACCAUCUCU
rnacentral:rRNA from 1 species